rnacentral:tRNA from 1 species
GGGUGCAUCGGAUAAUGUUAGUCUACCCGGCUCCAGCCCGGGAGGUGGGGGUUAAAUUCCUCCUGCGCCCA